rnacentral:rRNA from 1 species
UACGUAGGUGGCGAGCGUUGUCCGGAAUUACUGGGUGUAAAGGGUGCGUAGGCGGGUAGACAAGUUGGAUGUGAAAUACCGGGGCUUAACUCCGGGGCUGCAUCCAAAACUGACUAUCUUGAGUGAAGUAGAGGCAAGCGGAAUUCCCAGUGUAGCGGUGAAAUGCGUAGAUAUUGGGAGGAACACCAGUGGCGAAGGCGGCUUGCUGGGCUUUAACUGACGCUGAGGCACGAAAGCAUGGGGAGCAAACAGGAUUAGAUACCCUGGUAGUCCAUGCUGUAAACGAUGGAUACUAGGUGUGGGGGGACUGACCCCUUCCGUGCCGGAGUUAACACAAUAAGUAUCCCACCUGGGGAGUACGGCCGCAAGGUUGAA